AUACAGAGGGUGCAAGCGUUAUUCGGAAUUACUGGGCGUAAAGCGCGCGUAGGCGGAUGAUUAAGUCAGUUGUGAAAGCCCUGGGCUCAACCUAGGAACUGCAUCUGAUACUGGUCGUCUAGAGUUUAAGAGAGGGAAGUGGAAUUCCAGGUGUAGCAGUGAAAUGCGUAGAUAUCUGGAGGAACAUCAGUGGCGAAGGCGACUUCCUGGCUUAAAACUGACGCUGAGGUGCGAAAGCGUGGGUAGCGAACGGGAUUAGAAACCCCAGUAGUCC
rnacentral:rRNA from 1 species